UACAGAGGGUGCAAGCGUUAAUCGGAAUUACUGGGCGUAAAGCGCGCGUAGGUGGUUUGUUAAGUUGGAUGUGAAAUCCCCGGGCUCAACCUGGGAACUGCAUUCAAAACUGACAAGCUAGAGUAUGGUAGAGGGUGGUGGAAUUUCCUGUGUAGCGGUGAAAUGCGUAGAUAUAGGAAGGAACACCAGUGGCGAAGGCGACCACCUGGACUGAUACUGACACUGAGGUGCGAAAGCGUGGGGAGCAAACGGG
rnacentral:rRNA from 1 species